rnacentral:rRNA from 1 species
UUCAUGAAGCCAGAAUUGCUAGUAAUGGCAGGUCAGCAUACUGCCGUGAAUACGUUCCCGGGCCUUGUACACACCGCCCGUCACACCAUGAGAGUUGGGAAUACCCGAAGCCUGUGAGCUAACAUUAAGAGGCAGCAGUCGAAGGUAGAAUCAAUGAUUGGGGUGAAGUCGUAACAAGGUAGC